rnacentral:rRNA from 1 species
UACGAAGGUCCCAAGCGUUGUUCGGAAUCACUGGGCGUAAAGGGAGCGUAGGCGGCGUGGUAAGUCAGAUGUGAAAUCCCGGGGCUCAACCCCGGAACUGCAUCCGAUACUGCCAUGCUUGAGGGUUGGAGAGGUAGCUGGAAUUAUCGGUGUAGCAGUGAAAUGCGUGGAUAUCGAUAGGAACACUCGUGGCGAAGGCGAGCUGCUGGACAACAUCUGACGCUGAGGCUCGAAGGCUAGGGGAGCAAACGGG